UGGCACGCCUUUCUUUUUUUUUGCUUCUUCUUUCUGCUUUUCCGUUGUUGUCGCGGAGGUCUUGCCGCCGUCGCCGUCUCUGCCGUCGUCAUCGUCGCAGUCGGACCCUUUGUGGUCGACGCCUGCGGGCCUCUUUUGUAUCGCCGCCGCCGCCGCCGUCUUCGUCACCACCGCCGUGGCCGCUGUCGACGUCCUCUUGCUUGUCCCCGUCCUUGUCGCCGCCGCCGCCGCCUUUGAGGACGAGGCAACGGCGGCGACGCCAAGUGAUCUGCGUCGGGGCCUUCGUCGCUGCAGGCGGCGGUGAUGCUCUCGACGCUUUCAAGGCAACGGCCUUUUGGAGGGAGAGGGGGAAAAGACGAGAGAAAACAAAAAAAAAGAAGGGAAAAGGCGCAGUCGACAGGGCCCAAGGUCCGAGGGAGGAGAAAAGACAAAGGCGGCGACAGAGCGGCGCGCACAACACGGACCAUGUUUGUUGGAGGGCUAGCAAAAUCACGCGACGACACAGAGGCCGCCAGCCGGCUCGCGCGCGUGCACGCCAACAAUAACAACAAGACCCAAAAAUCGGGCCCGCAAAUUUUUUUGCAAAGUACCAGGAUAUAUCUAUGAAAAAACCGGGAUAAAACUAGACAUUUACUUGUCGAAAAUCCGGGAUAAAUCGAGACAUGAAAAAAAUCGC
rnacentral:lncRNA from 1 species